GAUGAAGAACGUAGCGAAAUGCGAUAAGUAAUGUGAAUUGCAGAAUUCAGUGAAUCAUCGAAUCUUUGAACGCACAUUGCGCCCCUUGGUAUUCCGAGGGGCAUGCCUGCUCGAGCGUCAUUAUAACCCCUCAAGCUCAGCUUGGUGUUGGGGCCUGCUGCACUGGCAGCCCUUAAAAUCAGUGGCGGCGCCAUCUGGCUCUAAGCGUAGUAAUUCUUCUCGCUAUGGAGUCCUGGUGGAUGCUUGCCAUCAACCCCCAAUUUUUCUAUGGUUGACCUCGGAUCAGGUAGGGAUACCCGCUGAACUUAAGCAUAUCAAUAAGCGGAGGA
rnacentral:misc_RNA from 1 species